GACAGAGGUGCCAAGCGUUAGGCGGAAUCACUGGGCUUAAAGCGUGUGUAGGCGGGCGAUCAAGUACCUUGUGAAAUCCCACGGCUCAACCGUGGAACUGCUGGGUAUACUGGUUGUCUUGAGCCAGCUAGGGGCGAGCGGAACAGACGGUGGAGCGGUGAAAUGCGUAGAUAUCGUCUGGAACGCCGAAGGUGAAAACAGCUCGCUGGGGCUGCGCUGACGCUGAGGCGCGAAAGCUAGGGGAGCAAACAGG
rnacentral:rRNA from 1 species